CUCACACCCUUCACCAACCCUUUCUGAGUUGCAGAGGGAGAAGCCAGUUUCCUGAUCUCCAGGGCAGAAAGAACCUGGGAGAAAUGCCCUAGAACAAAGUGUUACUUGUGGAACAGACUCAGUCGAGUAGCUGAACUUGACCCAUCACUAAACCUCUCAUUUUUUAUUUUUGUUUUUUUACUGAGGGGGGAAAAAGGUUCUUUUUCUAAUAAUUCUACAUAUUUCUAUCGUGUUUAAAAGUUUACAAAGAACUUUCUUAUUAACAACUGCAUGAGAGAUGAAAAAACUAGGAUCCCCAGAUGCGAAGUGCUCACCGCCGUAAAAAGUGGAGUCAGAAUUUGAACUCAAGUUUUUUGACUCCAAACCCAAAGCUCUUCAAAUUACAACUUCCUACAAAUAAAGAAACUGCAAGGAAAUUUAAAUGCCUCGUCCCUGGUCAGUGAGCUCAUCUCAAAGUCUGGAGCAAGUUUUUAGGAGAAGGAUAAUCUGGAUGUUCCGACUUUACAUCAAAUGAGCAAGCCUCCGUGAUUCCAUGCCAGGAUUUGCAGCCAACUCAGCAUCAAUGCCUGGAAGAGCAAGAAGUGACCUCUAAGAAUGACCUUCAGUACUGAGUCCAAUGGUAACUAAGACAAGGACUCACCCAGAAGUCUAGACAUGAACUUGACUACUAUCCUCCCAUCAUCCCAUUGGCAGGACAGAACGCAUGACUGUGAUGGACCACAAAAAGGAACGUCAUUUGGCACUUCCUCAUCCUUUCCCCUUACUGCAGCCAAACUUCUGAUGCUAAUGUACUAAGAUAAUAAAUAAAAGAUGUUUUUGUUUUAA